rnacentral:rRNA from 1 species
CAAGGAAUAUUGUGCAAUGGGCGAAAGCCUGACACAGCGACGCCGCGUGAGGGAUGAAGGCUUUCGGGUCGUAAACCUCUUUUCCCAGGGAUGAAAAAUGACAGUACCUGGGGAAUAAGCCAUGGCUAACUACGUGCCAGCAGCCGCGGUAAAACGUAGGUGGCGAGCGUUAUCCGGAUUUACUGGGCGUAAAGAGGGCGCAGGCGGCUUUUCAAGUCGGAUGUAAAAUCUCCCGGCUUAACUGGGAGGGACCAUCCGAUACUGUUGGGCUAGAGAGCAGCAGAGGGAGGUAGAAUUCCCGGUGUAGUGGUGGAAUGCGUAGAUAUCGGGAGGAAUACCAGUGGCGAAAGCGGCCUCCUGGGCUGUUUCUGACGCUGUAGCCCGAAAGCGUGGGGAGCAAACAGG